UUAAGCGACUAAGCGUACACGGUGGAUGCCCUGGCAGUCAGAGGCGAUGAAGGACGUGCUAAUCUGCGAUAAGCGUCGGUAAGGUGAUAUGAACCGUUAUAACCGGCGAUUUCCGAAUGGGGAAACCCAGUGUGUUUCGACACACUAUCAUUAACUGAAUCCAUAGGUUAAUGAGGCGAACCGGGGGAACUGAAACAUCUAAGUACCCCGAGGAAAGAAAUCAACCGAGAUUCCCCCAGUAGCGGCGAGCGAACGGGGAGGAGCCCAGAGCCUGAAUCAGUGUGUGUGUUAGUGGAAGCGUCUGGAAAGGCGCGCGAUACAGGGUGACAGCCCCGUACACAAAAAUAGCACAUACUGUGAGCUCGAUGAGUAGGGCGGGACGACGUGGUAUCCUGUCUGAAUAUGGGGGGACCAUCCUCCAAGGCUAAAUACUCCUGACUGACCGAUAGUGAACCAGUACCGUGAGGGAAAGGCGAAAAGAACCCCGGCGAGGGGAGUGAAAAAGAACCUGAAACCGUGUACGUACAAGCAGUGGGAGCCUCUUUUAUGGGGUGACUGCGUACCUUUUGUAUAAUGGGUCAGCGACUUAUAUUCUGUAGCAAGGUUAACCGAAUAGGGAGCCGAAGGGAACCGAGUCUUAACUGGGCGUUAAGUUGCAGGGUAUAGACCCGAAACCCGGUGAUCUAGCCAUGGGCAGGUUGAAGGUUGGGUAACACUAACUGGAGGACCGAACCGACUAAUGUUGAAAAAUUAGCGGAUGACUUGUGGCUGGGGGUGAAAGGCCAAUCAAACCGGGAGAUAGCUGGUUCUCCCCGAAAGCUAUUUAGGUAGCGCCUCGUGAAUUCAUCUCCGGGGGUAGAGCACUGUUUCGGCAAGGGGGUCAUCCCGACUUACCAACCCGAUGCAAACUGCGAAUACCGGAGAAUGUUAUCACGGGAGACACACGGCGGGUGCUAACGUCCGUCGUGAAGAGGGAAACAACUCAGACCGCCAGCUAAGGUCCCAAAGUCAUGGUUAAGUGGGAAACGAUGUGGGAAGGCCCAGACAGCCAGGAUGUUGGCUUAGAAGCAGCCAUCAUUUAAAGAAAGCGUAAUAGCUCACUGGUCGAGUCGGCCUGCGCGGAAGAUGUAACGGGGCUAAACCAUGCACCGAAGCUGCGGCAGCGACACUGUGUGUUGUUGGGUAGGGGAGCGUUCUGUAAGCCUGUGAACGGUGUGCUGUGAGGCAUGCUGGAGGUAUCAGAAGUGCGAAUGCUGACAUAAGUAACGAUAAAGCGGGUGAAAAGCCCGCUCGCCGGAAGACCAAGGGUUCCUGUCCAACGUUAAUCGGGGCAGGGUGAGUCGACCCCUAAGGCGAGGCCGAAAGGCGUAGUCGAUGGGAAACAGGUUAAUAUUCCUGUACUUGGUGUUACUGCGAAGGGGGGACGGAGAAGGCUAUGUUGGCCGGGCGACGGUUGUCCCGGUUUAAGCGUGUAGGCUGGUUUUCCAGGCAAAUCCGGAAAAUCAAGGCUGAGGCGUGAUGACGAGGCACUACGGUGCUGAAGCAACAAAUGCCCUGCUUCCAGGAAAAGCCUCUAAGCAUCAGGUAACAUCAAAUCGUACCCCAAACCGACACAGGUGGUCAGGUAGAGAAUACCAAGGCGCUUGAGAGAACUCGGGUGAAGGAACUAGGCAAAAUGGUGCCGUAACUUCGGGAGAAGGCACGCUGAUAUGUAGGUGAAGUCCCUCGCGGAUGGAGCUGAAAUCAGUCGAAGAUACCAGCUGGCUGCAACUGUUUAUUAAAAACACAGCACUGUGCAAACACGAAAGUGGACGUAUACGGUGUGACGCCUGCCCGGUGCCGGAAGGUUAAUUGAUGGGGGUCAGCGCAAGCGAAGCUCUUGAUCGAAGCCCCGGUAAACGGCGGCCGUAACUAUAACGGUCCUAAGGUAGCGAAAUUCCUUGUCGGGUAAGUUCCGACCUGCACGAAUGGCGUAAUGAUGGCCAGGCUGUCUCCACCCGAGACUCAGUGAAAUUGAACUCGCUGUGAAGAUGCAGUGUACCCGCGGCAAGACGGAAAGACCCCGUGAACCUUUACUAUAGCUUGACACUGAACAUUGAGCCUUGAUGUGUAGGAUAGGUGGGAGGCUUUGAAGUGUGGACGCCAGUCUGCAUGGAGCCGACCUUGAAAUACCACCCUUUAAUGUUUGAUGUUCUAACGUGGACCCGUGAUCCGGGUUGCGGACAGUGUCUGGUGGGUAGUUUGACUGGGGCGGUCUCCUCCUAAAGAGUAACGGAGGAGCACGAAGGUUGGCUAAUCCUGGUCGGACAUCAGGAGGUUAGUGCAAUGGCAUAAGCCAGCUUGACUGCGAGCGUGACGGCGCGAGCAGGUGCGAAAGCAGGUCAUAGUGAUCCGGUGGUUCUGAAUGGAAGGGCCAUCGCUCAACGGAUAAAAGGUACUCCGGGGAUAACAGGCUGAUACCGCCCAAGAGUUCAUAUCGACGGCGGUGUUUGGCACCUCGAUGUCGGCUCAUCACAUCCUGGGGCUGAAGUAGGUCCCAAGGGUAUGGCUGUUCGCCAUUUAAAGUGGUACGCGAGCUGGGUUUAGAACGUCGUGAGACAGUUCGGUCCCUAUCUGCCGUGGGCGCUGGAGAACUGAGGGGGGCUGCUCCUAGUACGAGAGGACCGGAGUGGACGCAUCACUGGUGUUCGGGUUGUCAUGCCAAUGGCACUGCCCGGUAGCUAAAUGCGGAAGAGAUAAGUGCUGAAAGCAUCUAAGCACGAAACUUGCCCCGAGAUGAGUUCUCCCUGACCCUUUAAGGGUCCUGAAGGAACGUUGAAGACGACGACGUUGAUAGGCCGGGUGUGUAAGCGCAGCGAUGCGUUGAGCUAACCGGUACUAAUGAACCGUGAGGCUUAACCUU
rnacentral:rRNA from 1 species